rnacentral:rRNA from 1 species
GACGAACGCCGGCGGCGUGCCUAAUACAUGCAAGUCGAGCGAAUCGAUGGGAGCUUGCUCCCUGAGAUUAGCGGCGGACGGGUGAGUAACACGUGGGUAACCUGCCUGUAAGACUGGGAUAACUUCGGGAAACCGGAGCUAAUACCGGAUAGUUUCUUUUCUCACAUGAGGAGAGAUGGAAAGAUGGUUCUGCUAUCACUUACAGAUGGACCCGCGGCGCAUUAGCUAGUUGGUGAGGUAACGGCUCACCAAGGCAACGAUGCGUAGCCGACCUGAGAGGGUGGUCGGCCACACUGGGACUGAGACACGGCCCAGACUCCUACGGGAGGCAGCAGUAGGGAAUCUUCCGCAAUGGACGAAAGUCUGACGGAGCAACGCCGCGUGAGCGAAGAAGGCCUUCGGGUCGUAAAGCUCUGUUGUUAGGGAAGAACAAGUACGAGAGUAACUGCUCGUACCUUGACGGUACCUAACCAGAAAGCCACGGCUAACUACGUGCCAGCAGCCGCCGCAG